GAUGAAGAACGCAGCGAAAUGCGAUAAGUAGUGUGAAUUGCAGAAUUCAGUGAAUCAUCGAAUCUUUGAACGCACAUUGCGCCCUUUGGUAUUCCUUAGGGCAUGCCUGUUCGAGCGUCAUUUAAACCUUCAAGCUAAGCUUGGUGUUGGGUGACUGUCCGCUUCACGGCGGACUCGCCUCAAAAUUAUUGGCGGCCGGUACAUUUGCUUCGAGCGCAGCAGAAACGCGAACUCGGGCCCGUCGUAUUGGCUCCCAGAAGCUAUCUUCACAAUUUUGACCUCGGAUCAGGUAGGGAUACCCGCUGAACUUAAGCAUAUCAAUAAGCGGAGGA
rnacentral:misc_RNA from 1 species